rnacentral:rRNA from 1 species
GGGUAACGUCUUUCAGCGCCGCUAUUCACAGCGCCUGCUUCCUCCCCACUAAAAGGGCUUUACAACCCGCAGGCCUUCUUCACCCACGCGGCAUUGCUGGAUCAGGGUUGCCCCCAUUGUCCAAUAUUCCCCA